AUUGUAGUCUGCAACCCGACUACAUGAAGCUGGAAUCGCUAGUAANCGCGGAUCAGAAUGCCGCGGUGAAUACGUUCCCGGGUCUUGUACACACCGCCCGUCACACCAUGGGAGUCGGAAAUGCCCGAAGUCUGUGACCCAACCGGGAAGGAAGGAGCAGCCGAAGGCAGGUCUGAUGACUGGGGUGAAGUCGUAACAAGGUAUC
rnacentral:rRNA from 1 species